rnacentral:rRNA from 1 species
UCAGGAUGAACGCUAGCGGCAGGCCUAACACAUGCAAGUCGAGGGGCAGCGGGGAUAAGCUUGCUUAUCCGCCGGCGACCGGCGCACGGGUGCGCAACGCGUAUAGAAUCUGCCCUGUACUGGGGAAUAGCCCAGAGAAAUUUGGAUUAAUGCCCCAUGGUAUGUAUUAGCGGCAUCGCUUAUACAUUAAAGGCUACGGUACAGGAUGACUAUGCGUCCCAUUAGUUAGUUGGUAAGGUAACGGCUUACCAAGGCAGCGAUGGGUAGGGGCCCUGAGAGGGGGAUCCCCCACACUGGUACUGAGACACGGACCAGACUCUACGGGAGGCAGCAGUGAGGAAUAUUGGACAAUGGGCGGGAGCCUGAUCCAGCCAUGCCGCGUGCAGGAAGACGGUCCUAUGGAUUGUAAACUGCUUUUGUACGGGAAGAACAAGGGGCACGUGUGCCCCUCUGACGGUACCGUAAGAAUAAGGAUCGGCUAACUCCGUGCCAGCAGCCGCGGUAAUACGGAGGAUCCGAGCGUUAUCCGGAAUCAUUGGGUUUAAAGGGUCCGUAGGCGGGCCAUUAAGUCAGGGGUGAAAGUCUGCGGCUCAACCGUAGAAUUGCCCUUGAUACUGGUGGUCUUGAGUUAUGGUGAAGUAACUAGAAUAUGUAGUGUAGCGGUGAAAUGCAUAGAUAUUACAUAGAAUACCGAUUGCGAAGGCAGGUUACUAACCAUAUACUGACGCUGAUGGACGAAAGCGUGGGGAGCGAACAGGAUUAGAUACCCUGGUAGUCCACGCCUAAACGAUGAUACUAGCUGUCCGGAUGC